GAUCAUGAUCAUGAUCAUGAUCACCACCACCAUCAUGACCACGACCAUGAUCAUGAACAUGAUCACAAGCAUGAGCAUCAUGAUCAUCACCAUUCUCACGAUCAUACUCAUGACCCUGGUGUUUCUUCUGUCAGCAUAGUUUGUGAAGGGACCUUGGAUCUUGAGAAGGCUAAUAUGUGGUUGGGAACGUUGCUGAUGGAACGAAGCGAUGACAUAUAUCGGAUGAAGGGUCUUUUAUCUGUUGAGGGAAUGGAUGAGAGAUUUGUCUUUCAGGGAGUCCAUGACAUAUUUCAAGGUUCUCCAGAUAGGCCAUGGAAGUCGGACGAACCAAGAACAAACAAGAUAGUGUUUAUAGGGAAGAACUUAGAUGCUAAGGAAUUAGAGGAGGGCUUCAAAGCCUGUUUAACAUAAAUACCAGAUUCUGGUUGCUAUUCUGUAAGAGGUUGAUGACAAAUAAUGUGAGUGUUACUGUUAAAUUGAUCAAGGGAGACAGGAAAUUUAAGCAUGAUUGACUUGUUAAUUAAAAAACUGCUGAAGACUUUCAUGCCCCAAUUGAGAAUACAAAUGAAUUCUUUAUGUUGUAUACACUUUUCAGCGUAGUGUCUCUGUAAAUGAUAAUGGAGAAAAUUUUAAAUCGCU
rnacentral:misc_RNA from 1 species